AACUUUUAGCAAUGGAUAUCUUGGCUAUUGCAACGAUGAAGAACGCAGCAAAAUGCGAUACGUAGUGCGAAUUGCAGAACUCCGUGAAUCAUCAAAUCUUUGAACGCAUAUUGCGCUUCCGGGAUGUACUGGGAGCAUGCUUGUCUUAGUGUC
rnacentral:rRNA from 1 species